CCCUGUACCCACACAGACACUUGAUACCAAGUCAGGUAACCCCUGUACCCACACAGACACUUGAUACCAAGUCAGUUAACCCCUGUACCCACACAGACACUUGAUACCAAGUCAGUUAACCCCUGUACCCACACAGACACUUGAUACCAAGUCAGGUAACCCCUGUACCCACACAGACACUUGAUACCAAGUCAGUUAACCCCUGUACCCACACAGACACUUGAUACCAAGUCAGGUAACCCCUGUACCCACACAGACACUGGACACCAAGUCAGGUAACCCCUGUACCCACACAGACACUGGACACCAAGUCAGGUAACCCCUGUACCCACACAGACACUUGAUACCAAGUCAGGUAACCCCUGUACCCACACAGACACUUGACACCAAGUCAGGUAACCCCUGUACCCACACAGACACUUGAUACCAAGUCAGGUAACCCCUGUACCCACACAGACACUGGACACCAAGUCAGUUAACCCCUGUACCCACACAGACACCUGACACCAAGUCAGGUAACCCCUGUACCUACACAGACACUGGACACCAAGUCAGGUAACCCCUGUACCCACACAGACACUGGACACCAAGUCAGGUAACCCCUGUACCCACACAGACACUUGAUACCAAGUCAGGUAACCCCUGUACCCACACAGACACUUGAUACCAAGUCAGUUAACCCCUGUACCCACACAGACACUUGAUACCAAGUCAGGUAACCCCUGUACCCACACAGACACUUGAUACCAAGUCAGUUAACCCCUGUACCCACACAGACACUUGAUACCAAGUCAGGUAACCCCUGUACCCACACAGACACUGGACACCAAGUCAGGUAACCCCUGUACCCACACAGACACUGGACACCAAGUCAGGUAACCCCUGUACC